CAGGCAGCCUUGCAGUCAUCGGUCCAUGGAAACUGUCCGGACACCACGCCAAUCGUCUGUUCCCACAUGCGGGCCGCCGCACUCCUCUUGAGGAAUUCAGUACUGGUGGCUAAGGAAAGACACCUUCCCAUGUGGUUUCCCUCUGGAUGUUGUCCCCUUAAAUGAUGACGACAUGCUCCACAUCAGCAGCUGAUCGGACAGGAACAGGUCAUAUGGUGAGAAAUGGGAACGUCUCAUGGUCUCCAAAAAAACAAGGAAAAAACAUUGACUUUCCACAGAGUACAGCGAUCCGUAUGAACAGGAAACAAUAACACUGCGCUUGCCUUUAGACAAGAAUCUAACAUUCAUGUGGGCUGUCGCUCCUGUCUUCACAGCCUCAUGUUCACCACAUCGACUUGAUCGGCCUUUGUGGUUUUCUUCUUUGCCAUGAGAAUAUACGUUUCAUAUUUCACAUUUCAGAUGGGCUUUUCACAAGAGCGUUAUUCAGUGGUUUCAUCAGUCCAGCGCACUUCCUUUGAAAACACCAAACAGACUUUGGGAACUCUGUGUUGUGAUGCUGAGAUUGUGACCC
ensembl:lncRNA